CUGGAACCUUCUCAGACGGUCCAGUUCCUCGGAUUUCUAAUAGAUUUAAAACAGGCAAUUUUACAAUUACCAUCCACAAAGAUCAAAUCUAUCAAGAGAGACACAGGAAAUUGCUGUCAGCUCAACAGAUUCGCCUAUGCGACCUGGCACAUAAUAUAGGUCUCCUGUCAGCCUCUAUCCAGGCUAUAUAUCCGGGACCCUUACACUACUGAGCUAUGCAGCGGCUAAAAAC